rnacentral:misc_RNA from 1 species
GUCAUAACCUGCAUAGCACAGGAUCAAAUUAAAUUAUGAAACAAAAUAUGCCCCCAAAGAUUAUUAAGCAAUAAAACCAGACUCAAUAACAGAACAAAAUUGAAAAAUGAAGUCUGGGCAAGUUGCACCCAAUUAUGCGGGGAAUCAGAGAGAAAGGCAAUGAUAACAGCACAAGAUGAGUAUUUAUGGUCUUAUAAAAACAGUUAAUUUUUUAUGUUCAAUUUGAUCAAAUGUGAUAAUGUCCAAUCCUAUACUCUCUAUAGUUAGUCUACUUGAGAAGAAACCUGCUAGCUUCACAGAACCCAUUUUGAUGUGAUAGAAAAUGGGCUGAAGCAUGAAGCAAAGAACAAACUCAUAAUUCUGACUCAUCUCUUCAUAAUGAAAAUUCAAUCACUUAAACAAUAGUGAUACAAUUUCACACAGAUCAAGGGAUUACUUGAUUAUGUAUAUCUUCCUAUAUAGGAUCCUUUAAUUGUAUAUGUACAUGUCAUAGCUUGAGAAAAUAAUGAAGGAAAACUAUUCCAAAAAUUUCUUCUUCUGCUCUGUUUUUUCAUGGUAUCAAUGCAUACAAUUUCUGGGCUUUCUCCUCUGUCAUCCUAGGGUUUGAAUCACUAGUUUCCUGCCUGAGAAACAUUAAUAACAUAACCAUAGGUGUGUGAGUGUUUCUUAGUAUCACAACCACUGCCAUAAGUAGCGUCGGCUGCCAGCAAGUCUACCCUGGAAGUCGCGUCACCUCAACUCUCCCCACACGCUACCACAGAAUCUAGGACACUAUUCACGCGCCUACAUAUGAAGCAUCUCAGAUGACCAGUGUUUCCAAUGGCGCACUUGAGGCGCAAAGCACACGAGGAGUACAGAAUGGAUCCUCGUGCAGUGAAAAGUGCUCAGCCUCCCUCACUAAGGCGCAACAAGGCCCACCUAGGCAUGCCCAGGUGAUGCCAACUGACUAUAUAAGAAAAAGUAGGGUUUUUUCCUGUCUUAAACCCAGCCUCCAGCCAUAAAAGGAAAGGAAAAAAG